AUUAUCUUGGCAGAUAAGUGCGGUAAAUUUAGAAUUUAUUUAUGUAAUUUAUUACAGAUAAUA
rnacentral:tRNA from 1 species